GCAGUCUACAUUUCAUACACCAGAAACGUGCGCGAUGCCUACAGAGACAUAUGCAGUGGUAAUGUACUAUUUGGCAAUAGGGUUUUACAGACUGGCGUGAAGAGAAGAAUGGCAUUCAAGCAAUUGAGUAGUAACGAUUCUAACACAGCUCAGUAACUGUCGUUGGCUUCCAAAGGCAUUACUGCUUUCUUAAGAUUGGUUGGGCAUUCAUCGUGUUGCAAGGGGUAUCAAACAACUGGGAUGCGUGUUUAAGAUAUUUGUGCCACCUUUACUGGCAGCUACGUGUAAGAUAUUUUAUUAUCUUGGACCACAGGUGUUUAUCUUGCAAGCCAAGGGGCUGUUGCUGUCACAUAACACACCAACAUGGAGUGAGGGUAAGACAAGCUUCGACAUGAUACAUCUUUACUAAGGUAUGUCAUUUCACCUUAUAUAUUGUAUUUUAUUUGCUUGUCAAAGUGGUAUAUUUAUAUAAGAUAGAACGAUAACAGUAGGAUUUAGCAAUGCAUGCCAUCCAUGUAUUAUGGUAAUAUGUUGUGUGUCUUUCAUCUCAUGCAGCUUGAGUUUCUUUGAUGCAGUUUUUCCUGUGCUGUUUUACUGAGACAUCUAAUCAACAGGCUAAUAUGAUAAAGGACCAGGGUUCUCGAGGUGUUUACACCUAAAUGCUGUUUGCACCAUUCUAUGGUUAAGUAAAAUAAAACUUCUUAUGUUACAAAACUAGUAACAGACAAUUUUGUAAUUUAAGGACUGUGGUAUGGUAAAGAAAGCAACAAUAGAAGAUGUAUUUUCUUUUCACAAAUAAGUAGGCCUACACUUAAUCUUGGUGUAAAACUAACCCAAAUUGGCCGUUUUUUGUAUUGGAUUAUGCAGAUCAGCUUCUUUUAUUCUUUUUAUUACGAUGUUUGCAUAAAACUGAUUGCACUAUUAUUCAUUUUUAAAAUAUUACAGUGAUGAAGGCUUUACCAAUCAAAAAAGAUCACGAUAAAAAGAAUACUAAGAGUUAGUUAAUCCAGUACAAAAAGAGGAUCACUUUGAGUGUAAUGUGUAAAGAAACACAUAUCUUAUUUUGAUUUGCACACACAACAAUCUAACAAUUAAAAAAAAUAGUUCUGAUUAUAUUUACUAAAAGUUGCCUAAUUCAUAGUAUUAGUAAUGAGAUCCAACUUAUUACAUAACAUGGGUCAUAUAAAUUAUCAAUGUUUAAUAACUUCAUUUAAGUCAUCAUCUGUAGCAGCUAUUUUCUGUUCCCUGCAGGAGGAAAGUCUUCCAACAUUUUGUGCAGAUCAGCUUCAAGGCCUGGUCUUUACAUUGCAUCUCUCCUUCAACCCCCCCCCCCCCCCAUUGCAGUCAACCCUUUCUCUGACCUCAGCCAUCAGUUUGUGCUUCUGGGGUGCUGUUGUGCUGUCUGGUCCACAAUUUUCCCUUUCUUUGCAUUUUUACUCCAUUGUUUUGAUUGUAAAGUCUUUCUUCCUCUGUUUUACAAUUCAUACAGCUCUCUACACCCAAUUUCCCUCCUACUGGGCAAUGUCCAAGGAUAUGAAGUUUCCUGAAAACAGCAGCACAUUUGCCUUCAAGAUGAAUAUUUCCAGUAAGGUACAACCACUUCCGAUUAAUCCUAAAGUGAGAACUUAUUUGGCGUUUCCACAAUCAUUAGUUACAAGUGUGUUUGGAGAUGCACGUACUGUUACCGCGAUGAAUACCAGCAAACAGUGCGGUCACUUGGAGUGUAUUACAAGACAAGUGAAAUCUCUCUGCCAUUCACUUUGAUUGUGAUUUCGAUUCCUGUGAUUAAACUAUACGGCACAGUUUGGAUAAACAAGCGUCAUCACAGAGCCAAAUUAUUGAUCCUCUUGCAAUCUGAUUCACAGCUGAAGCAUGACUUCUAUAAGAGCAUUUAGUUUUGCUCAGAAGAGCGAUCUGCCCUGGAUAUAGACAAAUAACAAAAUUCACAUGCAAUUCCACAACAUUGUUUUAAAACGGGUUGAAACGUGUAGUUUGUGCUGAAAAUCAAGAUGCUGGGACAAUGGUAUGUGUCAUUACUGUGAUAAGCAAAACUGUUUUCAUUACACAUCAAUGGGCUGAUUGUUACACUGUUUGGAAAAAGAAAAAAAAAAUAUCUAACUCUGUAAAAUAUUUACAGUGACCGUACCACGUACCUUUUGUAUUCCUGAUUUGAGCUCAAGUGGCCUGCUACUUGUAUGAACAGAACAUAGUUUUAUUCAGCUAAGAGUAACUCUUUGGGUGAUGCACCAUUGUAAACUCCCUCUGUUCAGCUCUUGAAAUAGCAUCUAGGGCAACCUUUCCAAAGACACAUUAAACCCAGAGUGUGCACUCUUACUAAUGCAAUUAGGCGGCACAAAGAGCUUGUUAAAUUUCUAAUUCUUAGAAAGUUCUCCCGUGAUUGAUUGCACCGUUUGCGACUUAAGCUGCAUUAUCUUUCUCUCUAUAAAACUUUAUAAAAGGACACUGUACUAAACAACAAAGCUACAAUCCUACUACAAUUGGGGGAUUUAUGAAAAAGGUGUACUUUAGGCUUUUGUAACUGGGCUUCAUGUCUGGAAUAUGGUCUCUAGAUUAAAUGACAAAAGUGCAUUCCUUACAGUGCUUUCAAAGCAAGUAUUUGGUGUUGCGGUUUUUAUGUUUACCCAGAUAUUUAGCAGCAUUUCCCCCUUUUUAAAUGCAUUUAUUACAGAUUAUGACUGCAUUGGCAGAUACAUGUGUGAAAUUAAACAAUAAUUAAUCAGCAGAUUUGGUGCUCAGUCUGUCAGACUGUGCAUUUGAUUCUGAUAUAUUGGCACAAAAUAACAGCAGAGAGUAAGCAAAUUAUUAGCAUUUUAUUCCAUGCCUACAAAGCCUGCAUGAAUAUAUAUAUAUCUUUUUUUCAAUUUCAUUUUUUCAAAUUAAACAAGACAUAUAUCAACAGUAUUACAGAAUAGUUUAGAAUAAGAAUUAGCCUUGAAAUGUUUACUCACAAUUUGAUAAGCAGUUCUCUAGAUUAAUGCACAAAUGCAAGUGUUACAUAACAGAUGGACACAUGUACAGACAGACAGAAGCCCCCACAUAUACCAAAUAAUUGAAAUUCUUAUGCUAAAUAAUGUUAAUAUCAAGUUUCCUGACAAUUGGAAAAGUGGUUCUUCUGAUAUAUACUGACACACAUGUGUUAUUUUGUACAUUUGACUACUUUUGCGUAUAUGAUAUUUAACAUCUUGUACAUAUCUUGAAGGUUGAUGACAGCCAUUAAAAUAACUGUACUUUGUGGCAAUGUAACUCUGUUUGCUGGGUCAAUUUCCAGGUGGUAACCAGCAGUGUGGAGUAGCGGUUAGGGCUCUGGACUCUUGACCAGAGGGUUGUGGGUUCAAUCCCAGGUGGGCAACACUGCUGCUGUACCUUUGAGCUAGGUACUUUAACUAGAUUGCUCCAGUAAAAACCCACCUGUAUAAAUGGGUAAUUGUAUAUAAAAAAUAAUGCGAUACAAUUGUAAGUCGCCCUGGAUAAGGGUGCCUGCUAAGAGAUAAAUAAUAAUAUAGGUGGGUUCUCUAGAACAGAAAGGGAGGGGUAUUUUAAUAUUUCAGAUUCAAAUAAUUUGGCUUAAUAUUACCCUCAAACAAUAUAUGUUGUGGGUUGAAAAAUUAGUUAUAACUUGGAACCUUUAAAAAAUCUUCCAAAAUGAACUUAAAAAAUGUUUGAUUACAUUUAAUGAAAUAGGGUUCAGUCCGUUAAAAGGCAAUGCAUUCCUUCAGCUGUUCUGCUCUUUACAUUUUCAGAUUAUUACCUUUUUUCUUUGCUCCCCAUGCAUGACCAAUGUGUUUCCCAGUUGAUUGUAAAUUGGAUUAACAAAAAGAAAAAGAAACAAAAAAGAUGUUUCUUGUUGUUGCUCGGGUUAACAAAAGACACGUCUUCAUCUCUUCAAAUGAAUCCGAACAGAUGGUGUGAAAUUGAUUCUAGAAAAUGAAGUUAGUGGUAUUCAACUGGAUUACAAUAGCAGAGGUGGGUGCUACAAUCAAACCCCCAUCUUUCAAACUGGCAGUGGCGUAUUCACGGAUAUCUCAUCUGACUUGUCUAGUCACAGAAGACUGUUUGUAUUACUUUAAAGAGCAGUCAACUUCAAAUGACAUUUUCCUAGUUUUUUUUAAAUGUCCCCUUAGCUUUUGCAAUCAUUCAGAGUGGUCCUUACUGUGAUUUUUUUUCAGGUGCUUUGACUGAGUUCAGGAGCUGCUCUUCAGUUCUGGUUGGCUGCCAUGAACAUAUAUAUUGUAGACUAGAUCUGCCAAAGUGCACUGCCAAACUUUUUGCCAAGUCUUCCUACGUAAUGUAAUAGCCGUACCUAAAAGUUGUCACAACACAUUAAUAAAUGAAGGUGAAACAA